AGACCAGACUCCUACGGGAGGCAGCAGUCGGGAAUAUUGCGCAAUGGAGGAAACUCUGACGCAGUGACGCCGCGUAUAGGAAGAAGGUUUUCGGAUUGUAAACUAUUGUAGACAGGGAAGAAGAAAGACAGUACCUGUAGAGUAAGCUCCGGCUAACUACGUGCCAGCAGCCGCGGUAAUACGUAGGGAGCAAGCGUUAUCCGGAAUUAUUGGGUGUAAAGGGUGCGUAGACGGGAAUACAAGUUAGUUGUGAAAUCCCUCGGCUUAACUGAGGAACUGCAACUAAAACUAUAUUUCUUGAGUGCGGGAGAGGAAAGUGGAAUUCCUAGUGUAGCGGUGAAAUGCGUAGAUAUUAGGAGGAACACCAGUGGCGAAGGCGGCUUACUGGACUGUAACUGACGUUGAGGCUCGAAAGCGUGGGGAGCAAACAGGAUUAGAUACCCUCGUA
rnacentral:rRNA from 1 species